CUCACAAGAUGUUUUCCUGCAACGUGCACAGUGAGACGUUCAACACGAUAAAGAACAUCAGCAAAGCCCUUGUUUGUGACGGUAACAGCUCUUGUAACCCAGGUGUCCGUGUAGAAACCAUCCCACCAUCCUAUGCUGACAUUUUCCAGACCAACUCAGCUAAGCUGACCUGCAUAAUCUUCGAUAUACCCUAUGGCACCGACCCUUCUGCAUUGGGUGUCACCUGGACACAGGGACCUAACAAAACCCCACUGAAGACCGAACUGGGACAGCCCACAGAACAGGAAAAUGGGAUGCAAUAUAUCGAAGCGACAGCCACCGUGUGUGCAACCGAGUGGAACAGUGGUGACACCUUCAAUUGCAAAGUUGCUUUUCCAAGCUUACUUUCUGAACCUAUAGAAAAGCAGCUGGAAAAGUCCACUGGUGGCACCCACAUUCCUCCCUCUGUCUAUAUCCCUUCCCCUUCAUCGGAAGAACUAGCUCUGAAGGAAACAGCCACCCUCACUUGCCUGGUGAAACGUUUCUACCCCGGUGAGUUCUUUGUGCAAUGGCUCCAAAAUGAUCAACCAGUGGACAGUUCACAAUACUUCACCAGCAAGGCCAUCCAGGAAUCCAAGACACCUGAGCAGUACUCUGCCUACAGUAUGCUGACCAUCAAGGAACAAGAGUGGAGUUCUGGUCACAAAUACACUUGCCUGGUGGGACAUGAAACACUGCCCUUCAACACAACUCAGAAGACGGUAGACAAGAACAUGGGUAAACCAUCUGUUGUGAAUGUCUCCUUAGUGCUGACCGAUACCGACACCUCUUGUAACUAA